CCUACGGGGGGCAACAGUGGGGAAUAUUGGACAAUGGGGGCAACCCUGAUCCAGCCAUGCCGCGUGUGUGAAGAAGGCCCUCGGGUUGUAAAGCACUUUCAGUGAGGAAGAACGCCUGGUGGUUAAUACCCAUCAGGAAAGACAUCACUCACAGAAGAAGCACCGGCUAACUCCGUGCCAGCAGCCGCGGUAAUACGGAGGGUGCGAGCGUUAAUCGGAAUUACUGGGCGUAAAGCGCGCGUAGGUGGCUUGAUAAGCCGGUUGUGAAAGCCCCGGGCUCAACCUGGGAACGGCAUCCGGAACUGUCAAGCUAGAGUGCAGGAGAGGAAGGUAGAAUUCCCGGUGUAGCGGUGAAAUGCGUAGAGAUCGGGAGGAAUACCAGUGGCGAAGGCGGCCUUCUGGACUGACACUGACACUGAGGUGCGAAAGCGUGGGUAGCAAACAGGAUUAGAUACCCUAGUGGUC
rnacentral:rRNA from 1 species